rnacentral:rRNA from 1 species
UACGGAGGGUCCAAGCGUUGUCCGGAAUCACUGGGUGUAAAGGGUGUGUAGGUGGACUUGUAAGUCAGAGGUGAAAGCCCACGGCUCAACCGUGGAAUUGCCUUUGAUACUGCAUGUCUUGAGUCCUGGAGGGGCUGUUGGAAUUCGUGGUGUAGCGGUGAAAUGCGUAGAUAUCACGAGGAACACCAGAGGCGUAAGCGAACAGCUGGACAGGUACUGACACUGAGGCACGAAAGCGUGGGGAGCAAACAGG